rnacentral:miRNA from 1 species
UUAUAGUCUGACAUCUGGAAU